rnacentral:rRNA from 1 species
CGGGCGGUUGCAGCAGUGAGGAAUAUUGCACAAUGGGGGGAACCCUGAUGCAGCAACGCCGCGUGGAGGAUGACGCAUUUCGGUGUGUAAACUCCUUUUAUAUGUCAAGAAAAUGACGGUAGCAUAUGAAUAAGCACCGGCUAACUCCGUGCCAGCAGCCGCGGUAAUACGGAGGGUGCAAGCGUUACUCGGAAUCACUGGGCGUAAAGGACGCGUAGGCGGGUUGGAAAGUCAGGUGUGAAAUCCUACAGCGUAACUGUAGAACUGCACUUGAAACUUCUAAUCUAGAGUAUGGGAGGGGGAGAUGGAAUUAGUGGUGUAGGGGUAAAAUCCGUAGAUAUCACUAGGAAUACCUAAAGCGAAGGCGAUCUCCUGGAACAUUACUGACGCUAAGGCGUGAAAGCGUGGGGAGCAAACAGGAUUAGAUACCCGGGUAGUC